UGGGGAAUAUUGCACAAUGGAGGGAACUCUGAUGCAGCAACGCCGCGUGAAGGAUGAAGGUUUUCGGAUUGUAAACUUCUUUGAUUGGGGACGAAGAAUGACGGUACCCAAGGAACAAGCCACGGCUAACUACGUGCCAGCAGCCGCGGUAAUACGUAGGUGGCGAGCGUUGUCCGGAAUUACUGGGUGUAAAGGGCGUGUAGGCGGGACUGUAAGUCAGAUGUGAAAUUCCAAGGCUUAACCUUGGCGCUGCAUCUGAAACUAUGGUUCUUGAGUGCUGGAGAGGAAAGCGGAAUUCCUAGUGUAGCGGUGAAAUGCGUAGAUAUUAGGAGGAACACCAGUGGCGAAGGCGGCUUUCUGGACAGUAACUGACGCUGAGGCGCGAAAGCGUGGGGAGCAA
rnacentral:rRNA from 1 species